CAACAACCUUAUUGAUCAGUCAGCAGCCAUUAACAGCAGGCAAGACUCUCCACCAGCAAAAAGAAAACGACUCACUGAAGGCUCAGCAGUUUUCCUCCCUUGAGGCAAGAAAGAUCUAAGGUCUGGUUUGAAGGGAGGAAGAAAAACGGGGAAAGAAGACAUUACCAAGAGCAAAAAGCACAUAGAUAAUAUACCAAAAAUUAUUUUG
rnacentral:lncRNA from 10 species